GAUGAACGUUGGCGGCGUGCCUAACACAUGCAAGUCGAACGCUGGUAGCAAUAUCAGAGUGGCGCACGGGUGAGUAACACGUAGCUUACCUACCUCAAAGCGCGGGAUAACGUUCCGAAAGGAAUGCUAAUACCGCAUAAGCUCCCGGUCUGUAGAGGGCUGAGAGAAAAGGGCACUCACUUUGAGAUGGGGCGUGCGGCCCAUCAGCUGGUUGGUGAGGUAACGGCUUACCAA
rnacentral:rRNA from 1 species